AAAGUCGUAACAAGGUUUCCGUAGGUGAACCUGCGGAAGGAUCAUUACAGAAUAAACCUGGCUUGGUUGUUGCUGGCUCUCUUGGGAGCAUGUGCACGCCGGUCACUUUUAUCUUACCACCUGUGAACACUUUGUAGAUCUGGAGGCAUCUUCACAGACUCUUUUGUCGGUGAGCUUUGGGAAGCUGUCGUGUUCGCUUCAUCGCGUCCGACUCUUCCUGGCCUUCAGGUUUAUGUCUUUACAUCUACACCAUAAGCAUGUAAACGAAUGAAUCAAUGGCAGCUUCAUUGCAGCCUAUAAAACUUAAACAACUUUCAGCAACGGAUCUCUUGGCUCUC
rnacentral:misc_RNA from 1 species